GUCGAGGGGCAGCAUUUUUAUAGCAUAUAAAAGAUGGCGACCGGCGCACGGGUGAGUAACACGUAUCCAACCUGCCGAUAACUCGGGGAUAACCCUUCGAAAGAAGGCCUAAUACCCGAUGGCAUAUCCCUUCCGCCUGGUGGGGAUAUUAAAGAACUUCGGUUAUCGAUGGGGAUGCGUUCCAUUAGCUUGUUGGCGGGGUAACGGCCCACCAAGGCAUCGAUGGAUAGGGGUUCUGAGAGGAAGGUCCCCCACAUUGGAACUGAGACACGGUCCAAACUCCUACGGGAGGCAGCAGUGAGGAAUAUUGGUCAAUGGACGAGAGUCUGAACCAGCCAAGUAGCGUGAAGGAUGAAGGUCCUAUGGAUUGUAAACUUCUUUUAUACGGGAAUAAAGUGCAGUAUGCAUACUGUUUUGUAUGUACCGUAUGAAUAAGGAUCGGCUAACUCCGUGCCAGCAGCCGCGGUAAUACGGAGGAUCCGAGCGUUAUCCGGAUUUAUUGGGUUUAAAGGGAGCGUAGGCGGAUGCUUAAGUCAGUUGUGAAAGUUUGCGGCUCAACCGUAAAAUUGCAGUUGAUACUGGGCGUCUUGAGUACAGUAGAGGCAGGCGGAAUUCGUGGUGUAGCGGUGAAUGCUUAGAAUCACGAAGACUCCGAUUGCGAAGCACCUGCUGGAUGUCACUGACCUGAUGCUCGAAGUG
rnacentral:rRNA from 1 species